rnacentral:rRNA from 1 species
AUCAGCAUGCCGCGGUGAAUAACGUUCCCGGGCCUUGUACACACCGCCCGUCACACCAUGAGAGUCGGGAACACCCGAAGUCCGUAGUCUAACCGCAAGGAGGGCGCGGCCGAAGGUGGGUCCGGUAAUUGGGGUGAAGUCGUAACAAGGUAAC